ensembl:lncRNA
CAAGUAUAUUAGUACAUGGAGUCAGGGGGAAGAAGAGUGGGCUGCAGAUGAGUCAACUCAAGAGUCAGACAGCCAGAAGCACUGAUCCAAAUGAGAUGCUCUCUCUUGUAAGUGGAGUUUUGUCAUACUAGAAGGAAGCUACACAAUAACAGAAAUGCAGACGAUAUGGAAGUUUUCAUGAAGGGAUGUUGUCACUGUUUUUCUCCAAAGCAUGCGCUCAGACAGAACAGCGGGCAGAGGUUGCAGUCUCCUCACAGGAAGGAUUUGAGGAAAGUGUUGAUCUGUAUUUCCACGAGAAUGAAUUGCUGGUUCAUUUAUCAGGUGUGAAGGAGUGGAUGUUAACAGAAGAACAUUUCCUGUCACCUGCUACCAUUUGUGGACUUGGACUGAAAUUUGGAAUUAGGAAAGGAAGUUUUGCAUUAGGAAGGCCUUCUGAUCCUUCUCAAGAAGCUCACAUAUGCCUCAAACAAAAAUGUCACCCAGCAAGGUAACAAUGUCAUUGCUCCAGUGUCUGUUGUCUCCCAGACUCCCUGCGUGACCCGCCUCUUUCCUAAUGCCUGCUAAGUACUUGAUACUUUCCUACACAGGAAGCUUAUAUGAAGUAAUUAACAUUUAAUGAGAGGAAAUCAACUGAUUAGAAUGCUUUUCAUGGUACUUUAGCUAAUAAAUUUUGUAUAUACUUUUGACUGCAUCUAGUCAGCAUGUGGCCUCCUUUCCCG